CCUACGGGAGGCAGCAGUGGGGAAUAUUGCACAAUGGGGGAAACCCUGAUGCAGCGACGCCGCGUGAGUGAAGAAGUAUCUCGGUACGUUAAGCCCUAUCAGCAGGAAAGCAAAUGACGGUACCUGACUCAGAAGCCCCGGCUAACUACGUGCCAGCAGCCGCGGUAAUACGUAGGGGGCAAGCGUUAUCCGGAUUUACUGGGUGUAAAGGGAGCGUAGGCGGCGCUGCAAGUCCGGAGUGAAAGGCGAUGGCUUAACCAUGGUACUGCUCUGGAAACUGUAGAGCUUGAGUUCGGGAGGGGCAGGCGGAAUUCCGGGUGUAGCAGUGAAAUGCGUAGAUAUUGGGAGGAACACCGGCGGCGAAGGCGGGCUGCUGGACCGUAACUGACGUUGAGGCACGAAAGCGUGGGGAGCGAACAGGAUUAGAUACCCCUGUAGUC
rnacentral:rRNA from 1 species